rnacentral:rRNA from 1 species
AUGAACGCUGGCGGCGUGCCUCAUACAUGCAAGUCGAGCGAACGGACGAGAAGCUUGCUUCUCUGAUGUUAGCGGCGGACGGGUGAGUAACACGUGGAUAACCUACCUAUAAGACUGGGAUAACUUCGGGAAACCGUAGCUAAUACCGGAUAAUAUUUUGAACCGCAUGGUUCAAAAGUGAAAGACGGUCUUGCUGUCACUUAUAGAUGGAUCCGCGCUGCAUUAGCUAGUUGGUAAGGUAACGGCUUACCAAGGCAACGAUGCAUAGCCGACCUGAGAGGGUGAUCGGCCACACUGGAACUGAGACACGGUCCAGACUCCUACGGGAGGCAGCAGUAGGGAAUCUUCCGCAAUGGGCGAAAGCCUGACGGAGCAACGCCGCGUGAGUGAUGAAGGUCUUCGGAUCGUAAAACUCUGUUAUUAGGGAAGAACAUAUGUGUAAGUAACUGUGCACAUCUUGACGGUACCCAAUCAGAAAGCCACGGCUAACUACGUG